UACGUAGGGACCAAGCGUUGUUCGGAUUUACUGGCGUAAAGGGCGCGUAGGCGGCGUGGUAAGUCACUUGUGAAAUCUCUGAGCUUAACUCAGAACGGCCAAGUGAUACUGCUGUGCUAGAGUGCAGAAGGGGCAAUCGGAAUUCUUGGUGUAGCGGUGAAAUGCGUAGAUAUCAAGAGGAACACCUGAGGUGAAGACGGGUUGCUGGGCUGACACUGACGCUGAGGCGCGAAGCCAGGGGAGCAAACGGG
rnacentral:rRNA from 1 species